GAUGAACGCUGGCGGCGUGCCUAAUACAUGCAAGUCGAGCGAACAGACGAGGAGCUUGCUCCUCUGACGUUAGCGGCGGACGGGUGAGUAACACGUGGAUAACCUACCUAUAAGACUGGGAUAACUUCGGGAAACCGGAGCUAAUACCGGAUAAUAUAUUUAACCGCAUGGUUCAAUAGUGAAAGACGGUUUUGCUGUCACUUAUAGAUGGAUCCGCGCCGCAUUAGCUAGUUGGUAAGGUAACGGCUUACCAAGGCAACGAUGCGUAGCCGACCUGAGAGGGUGAUCGGCCACACGGGAACUGAGACACGGUACAGACACCUACGGGAGGCAGCAGUAGGGAAUAUUCCGCAAUGGGCGAAAGCCUGACGGAGCAACGCCGCGUGAGUGAUGAAGGUCUACGGAUCGUAAAACUCUGUUAUUAGGGAAGAAAAAAUGUGUAAGUAACUAUGCACGUCUUGACGGUAACUAAUCAGAAAGCCACGGCUAACUACGUG
rnacentral:rRNA from 1 species